rnacentral:rRNA from 1 species
UUGACGGGGCCGCACAAGCGUGGAGCAUGUGGUUUAAUUCGAAGCAACGCGAAGAACCUUACCAGGUCUUGACAUCCGAUGCUAUUUCUAGAGAUAGAAAGUUACUUCGGUACAUCGGUGACAGGUGGUGCAUGGUUGUCGUCAGCUCGUGUCGUGAGAUGUUGGGUUAAGUCCCGCAACGAGCGCAACCCCUAUUGUUAGUUGCCAUCAUUCAGUUGGGCACUCUAGCGAGACUGCCGGUAAUAAACCGGAGGAAGGUGGGGAUGACGUCAAAUCAUCAUGCCCCUUAUGACCCUGGGCUACACACGUGCUACAAUGGUUGGUACAACGAGUUGCGAGUCGGUGACGGCGAGCUAAUCUCUUAAAGCCAAUCUCAGUUCGGAUUGUAGGCUGCAACUCGCCUACAUGAAGUCGGAAUCGCUAGUAAUCGCGGAUCAGCACGCCGCGGUGAAUACGUUCCCGGGCCUU